rnacentral:rRNA from 1 species
CCUACGGGGGGCAGCAGUGAGGAAUAUUGGUCAAUGGACGAGAGUCUGAACCAGCCAAGUCGCGUGAAGGAUGACUGCCCUAUGGUUUGUAAACUUCUUUUAUAUGGGAAUAAAAUGUUCCACGUGUGGGAUUUUGUAUGUACCCUAUGUAUGAGGAUCGGCUAACUCCGUUCCAGCAGCCGCGGUAAUACGGGGGAUCCGCGCGUUAUCCGGAUUUAUUGGGUUUAAAGGGAGCGUAGGUGGAUUGUUCAGUCAGUGGUAAAAUUGAGGGGCUCAACCUCUUCGAGCCGUUGAUACUGGUUGUCUUGAGUGAGUGAGAAGUAUGCGGAAUGCGUGGUGUAGCGGUGAAAUGCAUAGAUAUCACGCAGAACUCCGAUUGCGAAGGCAGCAUACCGGAGCGCAACUGACGCUCAUGCACGAAAGUGUGGGUAUCGAACAGGAUUAGAUACCCGAGUAGUC